GAUGAACGCUGGCGGCGUGCCUAAUACAUGCAAGUCGAGCGAACGGACGAGAAGCUUGCUUUUCUGAUGUUAGCGGCGGACGGGUGAGUAACACGUGGAUAACCUACCUAUAAGACUGGGAUAACUUCGGGAAACCGGAGCUAAUACCGGAUAAUAUUUUGAACCGCAUGGUUCAAAAGUGAAAGACGGUCUUGCUGUCACUUAUAGAUGGAUCCGCGCCGCAUUAGCUAGUUGGUAAGGUAACGGCUUACCAAGGCAACGAUGCAUAGCCGACCUGAGAGGGUGAUCGGCCACACUGGAACUGAGACACGGUCCAGACUCCUACGGGUGGCAGCAGUAGGGAAUCUUCCGCAAUGGGCGAAAGCCUGACGGAGCAACGCCGCGUGAGUGAUGAAGGUCUUCGGAUCGUAAAACUCUGUUAUUAGGGAAGAACAUAUGUGUAAGUAACUGUGCACAUCUUGACGGUACCUAAUCAGAAAGCCACGGCUAACUACGUG
rnacentral:rRNA from 1 species